AAACUCAGAAAUUUGCGCAAUGCACAUUUAAUGAAAUGAAUGCUAUGAAUAACAAUACACUUUCCAUGUCGACUCAACCAAAGGUCCUGUUGUGCAAACUGAGGUUUUCCAGAGCAAAGCUGUAAACCCUUUAAGCAACUUAUUUGUCAAUCAGCAACAAAGGGAAACGGAAGAGGAACAGCAGACCUGGUGUGAGAGUCUCCCCAGCUUUCAAGCUCCAGUGUGUGUGUCUGAGGCAGAGCGUUACGGAGACGGCUGGAGUGUUGAUCCACCGAACACACAAGGUACAAGAGCAUAAUCAGCGAUGAGUAAAUCAGAAACACAUUCACAGAAUUUAAAUGCAAUAUAAAACUGAAUAACAUCAUAUUUUUGUUCAAUCCAUAGAGCACACAUUUUCUGUCCUGAGAACAUCAGGGGACAACCAAAGAAGAACACGGACUCCAGUGGGCGUCUCUCAGGCAGAGCAUCAUGGAGCCGGCUGGGGUGUUGAUCCACCGAACACACUAGGUAAAAGAGCAUUAAUUACAAUAAGUAGGAGGAAACAAGACCGGCUUGUAAAAAACGGCUGGUAGGGACUACACAAGCU